rnacentral:tRNA from 1 species
GGAGGUGUGGCUCAGUGGUGGAGCACUUGCCUGGCAUGUAUGAGGCACUGGGUUCAAUCUUCAGCACCACAU